UGUUGCUCUUUAAAUUAAUACUCCAUAGCUUACAUAAUCAAAUUCAAUAUAUGCUAUAAUCUAAAGUGUCCCCGGUGCUUAUUGCAGUGUCCUUUUCAGAGGAGUCCCUGCUCCUCACCCCAAACACAGAUUUUCCUCUCUGCUGGAGUGGGUUUGGCUUUGUUGGUUUUGGCUCUGUUUGCAUUAACUCCUGCACAUAAACCCAAAGCUUUUUUCCCCUUUCCGGCCCAUUUUGAUCCUUUCAGAGCUGCCAACCCCACAGAGCAGCAGGUCAGGCUCCUCCAGAGCCUCCCUCCUUUUGCAACCCUCAUUUCCAAAUAUUCUCCUCCUGGCCAAAAAUGGAUUUUGUGCAGAUCCAGCCCCGGCGCUGGGAUAAACCCACGGGCAGGCAGCCAGAGGAGCUGUGACAGCGAACACUGACUGAGAAUCUGCUCUGCUGUUUCCAAAUAAACGAGGAAAGGCACCGACAGAAGAUGUCGGAGCCUCUCUGAGGGCUGUGGGGGCCCAGAACAAACGCUGCAGAUGAGAGGAGUGGGAAUUCUGCGUGGCUCUGCUCCUUCACCUCUGCAAAGAUUGUUUUUAUCUACUCACGGACGAGCAGGACUUUCAUUCCUGGGACCUCUCAGAGCCUCUCCUGGAUUGUUUGUGAUGCCAUUCAAAGCUGGGUCUGUGCAGUUUUAUUUUCUGUGCUUCCAUUAGCGCUGCCCUUGGCGCUGGGUGAGCAGGGGUGAGGUGAGGACUGGGCUCUGGAGCACACAGGGAAUUCUCCUGACUACAAAUCUCACUCUUUAUGAAUCCCUGCCAUUUGGGCACUGCAUUAACCCAGCCACCAUCCCUCUGUAAUUUAUUAAUCUCAGACAUGGGAAAGGAGAAGUGUUUUAUUUUCAAAGGAAAGCGAGCCAUUCAUAAAACAUUAUAUUUUGACAUUUUCUGGAGAAUAUGAAGGGGCUCAUUGCUCUGAUUCAGACCCCAUUUGCAUAAUUUUUCCUUCCCUCACCACAGGUAAAUCACGGUUAAAUAUUGAAGCAUUUAUCACCCGUGUGUUUUCAAGCCAAGCUUGGUAUGAGCACAGCAGAGGGCGAGACUUUGUCGAGCACAGGCAUCGAACUGCAGGAACAGUUUGGCCCUGCAGUUCUGCACCAUGAGAUGAAGAUC
rnacentral:lncRNA from 1 species